rnacentral:rRNA from 2 species
GAGAGUUUAAUCCUGGCUCAGGACGAACGCUGGCGGCGUGCCUAAUACAUGCAAGUCGAGCGGACAGAUGGGAGCUUGCUCCCUGAUGUUAGCGGCGGACGGGUGAGUAACACGUGGGUAACCUGCCUGUAAGACUGGGAUAACUCCGGGAAACCGGGGCUAAUACCGGAUGGUUGUUUGAACCGCAUGGUUCAGACAUAAAAGGUGGCUUCGGCUACCACUUACAGAUGGACCCGCGGCGCAUUAGCUAGUUGGUGAGGUAACGGCUCACCAAGGCAACGAUGCGUAGCCGACCUGAGAGGGUGAUCGGCCACACUGGGACUGAGACACGGCCCAGACUCCUACGGGAGGCAGCAGUAGGGAAUCUUCCGCAAUGGACGAAAGUCUGACGGAGCAACGCCGCGUGAGUGAUGAAGGUUUUCGGAUCGUAAAGCUCUGUUGUUAGGGAAGAACAAGUGCCGUUCAAAUAGGACGGCACCUUGACGGUACCUAACCAGAAAGCCACGGCUAACUACGUGCCAGCAGCCGCGGUAAUACGUAGGUGGCAAGCGUUGUCCGGAAUUAUUGGGCGUAAAGGGCUCGCAGGCGGUUUCUUAAGUCUGAUGUGAAAGCCCCCGGCUCAACCGGGGAGGGUCAUUGGAAACUGGGGAAGCCCUUGAGUGCCGCAGAAGAGGAGAGUGGAAUCCCACGUGUAGCGGUGAAAUGCGUAGAGAUGUGGAGGAACACCAGUGGCGAAGGCGACUCUCUGGUCUGUAACUGACGCUGAGGAGCGAAAGCGUGGGGAGCGAACAGGAUUAGAUACCCUGGUAGUCCACGCCGUAAACGAUGAGUGCUAAGUGUUAGGGGGUUUCCGCCCCUUAGUGCUGCAGCUAACGCAUUAAGCACUCCGCCUGGGGAGUACGGUCGCAAGACUGAAACUCAAAGGAAUUGACGGGGGC